CUUUUGAUAUUAUAAAUGGUCAUUUGUUGUUCCAUUGUCUGAUUAUUCGCUGCUAGCAUAUAGAAAUACAAUUGAUUUUUGUAUAUUGCUCUUAUUUCCUGGGACCUUGUUUAUUAAUUCUAACAAUGUUUUUAUAGAUUCUUUUCAGCUUUUUAAAUACA